rnacentral:rRNA from 1 species
UACGUAGGGAGCAAGCGUUAUCCGGAUUUAUUGGGUGUAAAGGGUGCGUAGACGGAGGAGCAAGUUAGUUGUGAAAUCCCUCGGCUUAACUGAGGAACUGCAACUAAAACUACUUCCCUUGAGUACUGGAGAGGAAAGUGGAAUUCCUAGUGUAGCGGUGAAAUGCGUAGAUAUUAGGAGGAACACCAGUGGCGAAGGCGACUUUCUGGACAGUAACUGACGUUGAGGCACGAAAGUGUGGGGAGCAAACAGG